AACGAACGCUGGCGGCAGGCUUAACACAUGCAAGUCGAACGGGCCCUUCGGGGUCAGUGGCAGACGGGUGAGUAACGCGUGGGAACGUGCCCUUCAGUUCGGGAUAACCCAGGGAAACUUGGGCUAAUACCGGAUACGUGCGAGAGCAGAAAGAUUUAUCGCUGAAGGAUCGGCCCGCGUCUGAUUAGCUGGUUGGUGGGGUAAUGGCCCACCAAGGCGACGAUAAGUAGCUGGUCUGAGAGGAUGAUCAGCCACAUUGGGGCUGAGACACGGCCCAAACUCCUACGGGAGGCAGCAGUGGGGAAUAUUGGACAAUGGGCGCAAGCCUGAUCCAGCCAUGCCGCGUGAGUGAUGACGGCCUUAGGGUUGUAAAGCUCUUUCGCACGCGACGAUAAUGACGGUAGCGUGAGAAGAAGCCCCGGCUAACUUCGUGCCAGCCGCCGCCGUAA
rnacentral:rRNA from 1 species